GUGCUCCCUGGGGCAGCACAUAGACUAAAAUUGGAACGAUACAGAGAAGAUUAGCAUGACCCCUGGACAAGGAUGACACACAAGUUCAUGAAGUGUUCCAUAUUUAU
rnacentral:snRNA from 1 species